UUGAGAAAGACAUAGAGGUUAUGAUAUUGGCUUGAAACCAGUUGUAGGGGGUUCGAUUCCUUCCUUUCUUAUUUAG
rnacentral:tRNA from 1 species